rnacentral:rRNA from 1 species
AGGACGCUUCCUUCGGGAAGCGAGCGUACACAGGUGCUGCAUGGCUGUCGUCAGCUCGUGUCGUGAGAUGUUGGGUUAAGUCCCGCAACGAGCGCAACCCUUGUGUUUAGUUGCAAACAGGUCAAGCUGUGCACUCUAGACAGACUGCCGUGGACAACACGGAGGAAGGUGGGGAUGACGUCAAAUCAUCAUGCCCCUUAUGAUCUGGGCUACACACGUGCUACAAUGGCCGGUACAACGGGCAGCGAAGGAGCGAUCCGGAGCGAAUCCUAAAAAGCCGGUCCCAGUUCGGAUUGCAGGCUGAAACUCGCCUACAUGAAGUUGGAGUUGCUAGUAAUCGCGAAUCAGAAUGUCGCGGUGAAUCCGCGUUCCCGGGUCUU